GACAGAGGGUGCAAACGUUGCUCGGAAUUACUGGGCGUAAAGCGUGCGUAGGCGGUUUGUUAAGUCUGUCGUGAAAGCCCCGGGCUCAACCUGGGAAUGGCGAUGGAUACUGGCGAGCUAGAGUACGGUAGAGGAGAGUGGAAUUCCCGGUGUAGCAGUGAAAUGCGUAGAGAUCGGGAGGAACAUCAGUUGCGAAGGCGGCUCUCUGGACCAGUACUGACGCUGAGGCACGAAAGCGUGGGGAGCAAACAGG
rnacentral:rRNA from 1 species